rnacentral:piRNA from 1 species
AGGCUCAGCACUGGUAAUGUAGG